GGCGGCGCCUCUGCGCGCUGCGCUUCUGGAAGUCCCUUCGUUCCCCGCGGCGGCCGCGGCCGCAGCCGUGCCGGGACCGUCGGUUUCCCGCAGCCCUUCGUGUGGUGACGCACCCGCGCUCCUUAACGGCCUCCGCUAAAAGGGGAUGAAAUGCUGAAGAGAGGUUUGUUGACUUCGAAGGUGGUGUGUUUGCACACGACACAGCACGGGAUGGACGAAGCGAUGGGAAAGCAAGCCCGGACCUGAGGCUGCGACAGCAAAUCACACCUCCGUGGAAAACGCUGUUCUGUCCCUUCGGGGCAUCUGAGCCUCCUCCAGGGAGCUGGAAGCGCCCUCUGCACCGAGCCCGGAACUGCACAGGCCCUACAAACCCAACCGCUCGGGAAUGGCUCUACGUACCAGUGUGCCGAGAUUACCACGCUUCUGAUGCCAGCUAAAGGCAUGCAGUGUGUCUUCCGGAGCCUGCCCUCCUGCUCGGAGGAUCACAAGUUAAUUAACUAAGUGGAAUCGUAUGCUCAAAUUAGCUCCGCUCUAUGAAAAGUUGGCGUCGCGCCGCGCGGAGGGGCUGCGCCCGCCGAGGUCCCGGCGCUGCCGGCAGGUGGCGCCACGAGCCCGGGCACGGCCUGAGCCGCCCGUAGCACCGCCUGGCGGCGUUGGCGCGGAAGGGCAGCGGGGCGCCGCGGCUGUUGGCCUCCUGGUUGUGACAGACGCCACCUCAACAGCAUGGCUUUACGCAUUCUUCAUAAGCGUCAUUAUCUGCUUCCUUUUUAUUUAUUUAUUUAUUUCCCCUCACCAGUGCGCUGGGGAGCAGCAGGGAUAGAAGUGACUCUCCCCUCCGCUGUGGUUACGGGAUGCCAAUGACUUCCAUGGGAUGGCAAUGAUUUCAAUACAUGUAGCACCCAGAGGUCCUGCUGCCACACUGCCCUGUGGUGACACAACAACCUUUUUGCCUCUUCUCUACGCACUUCCCCUUCCCCAUCUGCACCCGACUGCAGCCUACAGAAGGAUUCAGAGACGCUUUUGAACACAGGCCUGUGCUACGCCAACUCCUUCGUGCAGCACUGCACAAGGCUCAUAGAUCAGAACAUCCAGAAGUCAGACUCGCUCCUCUCGCCUGUUACCCAUUCUUGUGCAAUUCUUCCUGAUCCGCAAGGCAAGAAGCAGAAGCUGGCUGCAGUUCCUUCGCUGGACUCUCUCUGGCAUGGGAAAGUGUCAGUGGGUGGGAGGGCUGGAACAGCCACUCCUAGGGCUACUUCCAAAGCCAUGCACACAGAGAUAGGGAGAUGACGGGGACCAGAAGCGACAUGUGGGGAGGACGGCACGCUGUGGCUAUCCCACCUGGUGCCCAGGCCAUCGCAGCCAGCUGCCAGAUGACACAGACCCGGGAGCUGUUCUCACAUGCCAGUGCUCACCACCAACAUGUCCUAACUGCUUCCCAUGGUGCUCAACGCAGGAUGAGAGCAGCUGAAUAAAAAGUAAUUGUAAAGCCUAGCAUGCAGCCUUUAAAGUUUUUAAUGAAGAAUCUUGUAAUUCUUCACCAUGGCCCAUUCUCCUGCCAACCUCCCUAAGAUUGCCUUUGGUUUCUGCUGUCCCUGGCAGUACGCAGCACUAAGUUCCAGCUAUCUGGCCCCAGCUUCAGGACCACUGAAGAGUUCUUCUUGUUCAGAAAUUUCUGAAAUCGGUAACCACCAGUCUGUUCCUGGGAACUCCUGGCACUUGUCAGAGUUCCUUAAAAGGGUCAGAUUUCUGUUCUCCCAACCCUUUUUUUCAAAGUGCAGACACUCCAGAAAAAAAAAAGAACACCUGUCCUGUAACAAACUCAUCAAGCAAGGAGAUACAGUUAUGUAGGAAAUGUCAGAUGACUAUGAAGAACUUCUGGAAAGCUAGUGGACAGCAACUUCUCUGUCUGUUUUUCAACGGGCUACUAUAAAACUGCUCAGAAAUAAAGCCCACAUCUUCCUGGUCAGAUGGCUUCAACGUGCACUUUGCAACAUGGGGCUGGAGCCUACAGCUUCUGCUUUUCCACUGGCAUUUGUGUGCACUCAGACACUCUCCUUUUCUUUCUUUUGUAGCCCUCAUUGCAACAUUGCUCCACUUAAAUUUGCUCUGACCUCCAAUUCACUCUGGAAAAUUUUCCAUGCAGCAGGGGAAGGUAUUUUGCUCACACAGUCCCCACCGGCUGCAGGCAGGGGUGCCAUCUCCAGGUGUUGCUUCUACAGCACUGGGUAGGGCAAAGAGCAACAUGGAGAUAAAGUGGGGAUUGAGCAACCUGGCACUGCAAAGGCCAAGCGUGCUAGGUCAGAGGUGAGGAGAAAAUCAGCAGACAACCAACAAACACCCGAGCAUCCCCAUGUCACAAGGGAAUGAGGGGUGAGGGAGCCCUCUGGGAGGGGGAGGACUCCACUCUGUAACAAAAGAACCCAAGGAGGCCAGGAGACGGCCUGCAACUCACAUGGGAGGUCCCUGACACAGGGGACUGUAAUGCAGAGUAUCACGACUGCAGUUUAAGAGAGGAAAUAGUGUGGCAAUAGCUUUUUGGUUUUUUGUUUGUUUGUUUUUGUUUGGUUUAUUAUUAUUAUUAUUAUUAUUAUUAUUAAAUGUUAAAAUGAGGCAAAGUCUUGAGUCUGGUCUAAGAGCUGGGAGAGGUGGAAGGAGAGCCAAUCUCUCUCUGAGUUGACGCACUGUGCCUGCCAACCUCACUCUGUCCUGCCUGACAUUUCAUGAACACUGUGUCUUUUAUUAUUUAUUUAUUUUUAGCAGUGGAGAACAGCACGUGGAAAGCAACAGGUCGGAAUCGAGCCUCUGCCAGGUACAACUUACGAGUUGGUGCUGGUGUAAGGUGCACGGCUGUAUGAAGAGGGACCUGGGACUGGGAACAAGGAGAAAACAGAGCACACAGAGUGUUCAGAAAUAGAUUUCAAUUUUACUUCUCUUUUUCACAGUCUUCAUUGCAACAUUGCUCCACUUACGUCAAACUUUCAGGCAAGGCCACAUCUCACCCCAAGGUCUCCCAUAGCAGCCCUGUGCUCCCCCAGCCUGCCCACAUGCACGGACACCACUGCUCUCAUUCUCCUCUCCAACUCACCUCCAGCACACUACCAGCAGCACCUUGUUCAGUGAUGCAACUGUUGACUUCUGGCAUUAUCUUCUUUAAUCUUUGCCCCUCUUCUGCCUCUCCAUGCUUUGCAUUGGGCUGCAGUGAGGGGCUGUGUCCACACAGCGUUUAGCAUGAUGCACCUCUGAUCUCACUGAUCUGCCAGGAGAUACUGCAAGGCAAACAACAUGCAAGACGAGUCUUCAGCAAGAGGCAUCUAAAAUUAUAGACAGCCUUUUUCUAGAGUACAAACCCUCAGCCCACAGAUUUUCUUACAAAAUCUUCAGUGUUUGAUCUGUGACCAUUACAUUAAUAGCAUCUCCCUAAAGCUAGUGUCCUUCCAGGACAGCUGCUAUAGACCUGCAGUGUGGGAAUUGGAGAGCCUGCUGGAAAUCCUGGAAAAGAAGACAAUUUUCAGGAAUAAUGUGUCUCUGCAACGUCUUAUCAUAGGUCUGAGCCUGCAGCUGGAAAGCUGUGUCUUUCUACAGUGUAAAAGGGAAAAUGUAGAGCAGAAUUUAAUUCAUGACAGAAAAGAGUGGUGAAGAUGAGAUUCUUCCCUCCACUUUUUCCCCCUUCCCACAUUCUUGUCUUACCCCUCCACUAUCUAUCUUCUUUCACACAUGAAUAAAGAGGAAUCUGGA